UACGGCUCAGUAACACGUGGAUAACCUACCCUUAGGACUGGGAUAACCCUGGGAAACUGGGGCUAAUACUGGAUAGAUGAUUUUUCCUGGAAUGGUUUUUUGUUUAAAUGUUUUUUCGCCUAAGGAUGGGUCUGCGGCAGAUUAGGUAGUUGGUUAGGUAAUGGCUUACCAAGCCUAUGAUCUGUACGGGUUGUGAGAGCAAGAGCCCGGAGAUGGAACCUGAGACAAGGYUCCAGGCCCUACGGGGCGCAGCAGGCGCGAAACCUCCGCAAUGUGAGAAAUCGCGACGGGGGGAUCCCAAGURCCAUUCUUAACGGGAUAGCUUUUCUUAAGUGUAAAAARCUUUUGGAAUAAGAGCUGGGCAAGACCGGUGCCAGCCGCCGCGGUAACACCGGCAGCUCUAGUGGUAGCUGUUUUUAUUGGGCCUAAAGCGUUCGUAGCCGGUUUGAUAAGUCACUGGUGAAAUCCUGUAGCUUAACUGUGGGAAUUGCUGGUGAUACUGUUGAACUUGAGGUCGGGAGAGGUUAGCGGUMCUCCCAGGGUAGAGGUGAAAUUCUGUAAUCCUGGGAGGACCACCUGUGGCGAAGGCGGCUAACUGGAACGAACCUGACGGUGAGGGACGAAAGCUAGGGGCGCKYYCCCCUUUUGAUACCCGGGUAGUCCUAGCCGUAAACGAUGAGGACU
rnacentral:rRNA from 1 species